CCUACGGGGGGCAGCAGUAGGGAAUAUUGGACAAUGGGCGCAAGCCUGAUCCAGCCAUCCCGCGUGAAGGAUUAAGGCCCUCUGGGUUGUAAACUUCUUUUCUUUGGGAAUAAAAACUCCGAUUCAUCGGAGCUUGAAGGUACCAGAGGAAUAAGCACCGGCUCACUCCGUGCCAGCAGCCGCGGUAAUACGGAGGGUGCGAGCGCUAUCCGGAUUCACUGGGCUUAAAGGGCGUGUUAAUGCAGUGGUGAAAGCCCGGAGCUCAACUCCGGAACUGCCAUUGAUACUGCUUAGCUUGAAUCAGGUUGAGGUGGAUGGAAUAUUACAUGUAGCGGUGAAAUGCUUAGAUAUGUAAUAGAACACCGAUUGCGAAGGCAGUUCACUAGGCCUGUAUUGACACUGAGGCACGAAAGCGUGGGGAUCAAACAGGAUUAGAUACCCGGGUAGUC
rnacentral:rRNA from 1 species